rnacentral:rRNA from 1 species
UACGUAGGGACCAAGCGUUGUUCGGAUUUACUGGGCGUAAAGGGCGCGUAGGCGGCGUGUUAAGUCAGCUGUGAAAUCUCCGAGCUUACUACGGCGAACGGUCAGCUGAUACUGAUGUGCUAGAGUGCAGAAGGGGGCAAUCGGAAUUCUUGGUGUAGCGGUGAAAUGCGUAGAUAUCAAGAGGAACACCUGAGGUGAAGACGGGUUGCUGGGCUGACACUGACGCUGAGGCGCGAAAGCUAGGGUAGCAAACGGG